GACAGAGGGGGCAAGCGUUGCUCGGAAUCACUGGGCGUAAAGGGCGCGUAGGCGGGAUGGCAAGUCAGUCGUGAAAUCUCUCGGCUCAACCGAGAAACGUCGGCUGAUACUGCCGUUCUUGAGGGAUGCAGAGGAGACUGGAAUUCCCGGUGUAGCAGUGAAAUGCGUAGAGAUGUGGAGGAACACCGAUGGCGAAGGCAGCCCCCCUGGGUCAAGAUUGACGCUCAUGCACGAAAGCGUGGGGAGCAAACAGG
rnacentral:rRNA from 1 species